AUGUCCGGGCCGAUUUCGGAGAAAGUGAUUUUCUUCUCCGUCAUGUCUCCGGUCGAGGCGAAACCCUUUGCGCUCAUUUUGCGUCCUUUUCUGAAUUCGUUUUGCCGCUGGCGCUUCGCCAGCGCAAUCGCUUCGCGCAGCACCUCAACAUCACCGAUAUGAUUGGCCAGAAUCAAAACCAGCGCCGUAUCCAGCGAUACGCUGUCCUCAUCGCGGAGGC
rnacentral:misc_RNA from 1 species